GGCUGUAGCUCAGUGGUAAUGGUAGAGUAUCUGCUUUGAGGCAGAAGGUCCCAGGUUCUGUCCCUGACAUCGCCA